UUGAUGAAGCAUUACAAAAGAAUGUCAAAAAACAUGCAAAUCGAGUCUUGUCAAUUAUUUAAUUUAUUCUCGGGUAAACUAUUAAAGACAGCUGUAGCUAUUAGGCAAAUUACACUGUACUAGAUGCUAUAGAGUAUAAUAUGUUGCACAUGCCUUAAAUACAAGUAUUUGAUGAAACCCCAUUAGUGUCUUGAUAGAAAUUGGAAAUUGUUUUUUGUUGCACCUGCAGAGCAGCACGUUGCAGCUGGCCCAGGGAAUAUGUGCGGCCAAGUCUGGCAAAAUGCAACACAAUAACUUUGCUGGGUUCAAUGCAAUUAAAUCAAUUGCGUUACGUAUACGCAACGUGGUGCAUGCCAUAACUGGCCAUGAACAGUUAGCAGUUGAAAGCGGAAGCGGAAGCGGAGACGAAGGCGUGGUUAACUGGGGCAAUUUGCAUGAGAAGCGGCUAACGAGGCCCUCAGCAUAAGUGAAUUAUUGUACAAGUUUUGAACAAAUUCAAUUAAGAACGUUGCAAAGUGCAAACAAAAAUUACAUUUUUAAUUGGAAAAUUGCAAUAAACUAGAAAGCACUCGAGAGGGCAAA